CCUACGGGAGGCAGCAGUGAGGAAUAUUGGUCAAUGGACGAGAGUCUGAACCAGCGACGUAGCGUGAAGGAUGACUGCCCUAUGGGUUGUAAACUUCUUUUAUAUGGGAAUAAAAUGUUCCACGUGUGGGAUUUUGUAUGUACAAUAUGAAUACGGAUCGGCUAACUCCGUGCCAGCAGCCGCGGUAAUACGGAGGAUCCGAGCGUUAUCCGGAUUUAUUGGGUUUAAAGGGAGCGUAGUUGGAUUGGUAAGUCAGGUGUGAAAGUUUGCGGCUCAACCGUAAAAUUGCAGUUGAAACUGGCAGUCUUGAGUACAGUAGAGGUGGGCGGAAUUCGUGGUGUAGCGGUGAAAUGCUUAGAUAUCACGAAGAACGCCGAUUGCGAAGGCAGCUUACUGGACUGCAACUGACACUGAGGCUCGAAAGUGUGGGUAUCAAACAGGAUUAGAUACCCGAGUAGUC
rnacentral:rRNA from 1 species